rnacentral:rRNA from 1 species
UACGUAGGGUGCAAGCGUUGUCCGGAAUUAUUGGGCGUAAAGGGCGCGUAGGCGGUUUGCUAAGUCAGUUGUGAAAGCCCGGGGCUCAACCCCGGAGGGUCGGCUGAUACUGGUGGACUAGAGUACGGAAGAGGUAGCUGGAAUUCCCGGUGUAGCGGUGAAAUGCGUAGAUAUCAGGAGGAACACCGAUGGCGAAGGCAGGUCUCUGGGCAUUAACUGACGCUGAGGAGCGAAAGCAUGGGGAGCGAACAGG